UGACGGUUUUGCCCUCUGUUUUUGCUUUGACUUACGGGUCUGCAAUAUGUCCCCUCAUUAUAUAAGCAAAAAUCCCAAAUUCUUAGUUUCUUCGGGAAGCCUCUAUCAACAUCCAUAUUCACUGUUUCGCAGCAUCAAACCCAGCCAUCAAAAUCAACAAUCUCCCACUAACUUCAGCCUCUAUCAACAUCAGUCACUCCAUUCCAAUUUCAGUUCGACAAGCCACUAACUUUACAAGUGCGCUUUUACAAUCAUGGCAUUCAAAUCCCCGAUUUAUAUGAGCGGAAUGGAUGUUUGUGUUUUCAAUGGCCAUAUUAAAAUGGCAGACUGAAAUCACGAGAAAGAAGGAGAAGAAGGAUUGGGUCUGGGUUUGUUUUGGAUUGCACAUGACACCAUACAUCUUGAGUUCAGAAAUGCUGCCGUUAUGUCAAGUGGGAAGAGUAUGAGGCGUUGCAAUCUUAACUCAUGCAGGGAGUAAAUGUAAUGCCAAGCCCUGAAGCCCGAAGUUUCAGGGUUGGACCUAAUUUUCAAGUUUGCAACUUUAUAAUCCCAAAAGCCAGAAGAGAUUUAGGGCUUGACAGAGUCUAAAAUCCAUGGGAGAAGAUCAUGUGUACACAAAAGAUCGGAGGGUUGAAUCCAUUCCAGAUGAGGUUCUCAAAUUUUGAUUUGUUUUUAGUUUUUCCCCGUUCUCUUCUUUUUACUAAAACCUGUCUUCAUUUGUUUGUGUACAGCUCCUUGCAUUCUCUGGCUCACACCCACUUAACAGUAAUUGGCUCAGUUUUAAUAGUGAGGUUUCUUCCCUUUUCCUUUCCCUCACAAGCUGGAAUAUGGGCUUUUGAACAUCAAGCCUGAACGUAUGGAUACUUUCUUUUCCUGUUAUCUUUAGUCAACGUCUUAGUUUGAGUGAACAAAAACUAGAGGAUCAGAGGUUUUGACUCCACAGAGGUGCACUCUCUACAGUGAUUGUAUUUGUUUAUGCAGAUUCUGUAUGCAAGCAGGUCUGCCAUUACCCUGAUCCUGUAACAAGGUUUAACAUUGCACCAGACUUGAUGAAUCAAGCAAAAGAUUAUUUGAACAAAACUAUAUAUGUUGGCUAGAGUGAGUGUUUUAGAAUGCGCAAAAAAAAAAAAAAAAAAAAAUGUAUCUUCUAAUGUUCCAAUUAUGUUUAUUCGACCCAAAAGUUGUGGUUGCACAGUUGUGUGCAGUCCUGCCUUACUUUGAAUGCCAAUUUAGGAUGGCCUGCCUUUGGAAUGUUGAUUUAUGUGAUUCUGUAUUUGUCC